rnacentral:rRNA from 1 species
GACGAACGCUGGCGGCGUGCCUAAUACAUGCAGGUCGAACGAACCGCGACUAGGUGCUUGCACUUGGUCAAGGUGAGUGGCGAACGGGUGAGUAACACGUGGGUAACCUACCUCAUAGUGGGGGAUAACAGUCGGAAACGACUGCUAAUACCGCAUAGGACAUAGGAUCACAUGAUUCUGUGAGGAAAGGUGGCGCAAGCUAUCGCUAAGAGAUGGACCCGCGGUGCAUUAGCUAGUUGGUAGGGUAAAGGCCUACCAAGGCGAUGAUGCAUAGCCGACCUGAGAGGGGGAUCGGCCACAUUGGGACUGAGACACGGCCCAAACUCCUGCGGGAGGCAGCAGUGGGGAAUCUUCCGCAAUGGACGCAAGUCUGACGGAGCAACGCCGCGUGAGUGAAGAAGGUCUUCGGAUCGUAAAGCUCUGUUGUUAGAGAAGAACAGCGCAUAGAGUAACUGUUAUGCGUGUGACGGUAUCUAACCAGAAAGCCACGGCUAACUACGUG